UUAUUAAUUAACCCAAAAUAUGGGAUUUGGUAGCACUUUUAUAGAGGUACAAUUGUAGCAAGCUCACUAUCAUCUUUUCAAAAAAAGAUAUGUAUAGACUCUGGUCCAUAAACAGGCAAAAUAGCAGAUGAACAUCCUUUGGAGCUAAUAGUUAAUAAUCUGUGAUCCACUGUGUGAAUUUAUAAGACAUGGCUUGCUAUCUGAGGGAAAUCAUAUCGUAGUAACACGUGAAAUCUCACCCAAAGAUUUUUAUAAGUAGUUAAGCCCUGUCUAGAUUAUUUAUUUCUGCCUUUUACUUCUAAGUUAUUUAUGAUUCUUUGAGGUUAGUAGAUAUUUCCUCUCAGAUUGGACAAGUAGUCCCUGGAUAUGAAUUGUGCUUUAGGGUCCUUUAGCAGUAGCAUAGCAAUAAAAUAUGAGAAUUUCACCUCACCUCUGAUGCCUCCCUUUCUUCCUUUGGAAUUUAGCAGGACAAAAGACAAGAGGUGGAAAGUCUCUCUUUUCCAGAGACCAAGUACUUGGGCUUUCUCAUUUUCAGUUCUGCUGGGCUGGUCAGAGUUAUAUAUAACAAAGCAGGAGCAGUGAAUUGAGCUUUGAUAAAAUACUAACUUUAUAAAUAGUCAGUGACUGGUAUGGUGACCAUUGCUAGGUACUAAUGGUGGAUAGAUGAAAGCAGUGUCAAAGCCUCCCAUUCUCUCAUAACCUUGAUACAAGUUUCCAGCCUCAAAAGAGUUUUCUGUGCCUUCCAUGUCCAUUUGACAUUAAUCCAGUUAUUCAAGUGUUCACUCAGCAGUUGCUGAGUUCUGGCUGUGUCAGGCUUCAUGGUGAAGCUGAAUAUACAGAAACAAACAGGAUUCUGUCCUUUCCCUCAAGGAGUGUGCCUACUAGAGACAGUCUGUCUGCUGUCAUCUCCUCCCCCUCCUCCCCCUCCUCCCCCUUCCACUCCCUUCCACUUCCCCUCCCCAACCCUUUCUAUUCUGGAACCUCCUGCUAGCUUGCUCCUCUGGUGACCUUGCUUCUAUGAACCCCCACUGACCACCACUGGCAACAACUGGAAGACACUAUGCUUCUUGUCUUUCCACACUUGAACAGUGUCAAAGAGGGAAACCAUUCAGCCACUGACUCAGACAUAGUCCUGUUGCCAGACAGUGCCUUGGGGAGUUAAGGGUCUGACCUCAGUUUUCUAAAUCCAGAAUCCCAAUAAUGUACCCAGCUUCACUCAAGCUCAGGGUGACUGAUUCAUGCUGUUCAAACCUACAAAACACUGAUUCCCAGAGCAGAAGGCUGAUUUACUUUAGGAGGAUCAGGUGACUUAUUAACAAACAUCCUUUAUUUGUUUUGUUCUGUCUUGUCUAGUUAAUAGGUUCAGAAAGUUGCUCAGUGAACAUAAAAUUAGAGUCAAGUUUACUGGAUGUGGACACAGAUUAUGGCCAUUGGCCUAUGAGCAUGCUGGUGACCUGCUUGUUCACUAUAAGUACCACUAGCCUGCAGCUCUCCCACAGCCCUCCCACCUAGUUUCCAAAAAAUGGAACUUGGUGUCAUUCAGACUUUAGGGAAAUCCCGUGCUCCCUUUGUUAGGAUGUUGCAGAGGCUGAUGCAGCAUUGAUUAACAGAGUGGGAUAAUGUUCUAUAAAACCCUUGUGCUCCUUGCUGUGUGAAACUGGUCUGCUAUUCUGACCUGGACUCAAGCUGUGUCAAAGCUUCACAUUCUCUCAUUACCUUGAUAUAAGUUUCCGGCCUCAAAGAGUUUCCUGUGCCUUCCAUGUUCAUUCGACAUGACUCAAGAGAGGUUAGGUAUGGUUAACCUAUGGUUUCCCUCUUGGUGUAUGUUUAUGUGUGUGGUUCUUACAACUCAUUAGUUCAUCAGUGAAGAAACUAAAAAAGGACGUAGUGAUGUUCACAGGGACAAACUGGAUCUCAUGCUUACAAUUUCAUCUAACACCACACUCCAGGAAAAUCCAUAUCCUUCUUCAAAACCCAGUUUAAUUCUCACCUCAUUAAUGAAGUCUUAGGCCCAGUCACUCCAUUUCCAGGCAGAGUACAUUAUUCUUUUCUCUCUGAUUUUAGAGAAUUUUUCACUGCUACUUCUGCCUCCAUCACCUUAUGUGCAAUAAGUGAUUUAGGAAUCAAUGUGAGCCAAAAUUGCCUCACGUAUUAAUCCUUGCAUUUUUGGUCCCUAAGGGAAUAUGACCUGUAAAUGAUAUUUCGUAAUUUUCUGGAUGAAGUACUGUCAUACUCCAGACUACUAAUGCAGCUGUCUAGGACAGGAUCCAUCAACCGAGCCCUGCUACUUCCUGGUUUGUGAAUGAAGAUUUAUUAUAAUGCAGCCAUAAUCUUCCAGCUACAUAAGCUUACUUCCAUGCCACAGUGGCAGAGUUGAGUGGUUAUAACGGAGACUGUGUAUCUCACCAACAUAAAAUACUUACUCCCUGUCUCAUUAUAGAAAAAUCUUCUUGAUUCCUAGUCUAGAAGUAUCUUUCCACUCCACAUUGCUGGAUACACUCUGAAGAUGGCUUAGUCACUGGUUGCCAUUUAUUUAGAAUUUUUAAAUAAUAUUCUCAAUAUGCUCAAACUGGAGUUGGGUUUUUCAUAAAUUUUUGUCAGUACCACAAUGGCAUGUCAUCAUUUUUCCUCAGAUUUGAGGGCCCAUAGAAGACACUGAGAUAGAAAGAGUCCCAUUAUAACUAGCUCAAUGAUAAAUCUCUAACAGAAUGUCAGUUAAAUUAGAGGAAGUAAAGAUUUUUUUUUCCUAGAGGUCUGUAUAACAGGAUUUUAUGGCAAUAGGAGCCAUAAAAAUACUUUCCUUAUUCCUCUUCUAUAAGCACCUAAUAAUAAAAUUUUUGUCUCUAGGCUUGCAUAGCAACGGACCUUUGACCAAAGUUAAGUAAAUUAAACAUUAUCAGUUUUCUACUUUUAAAUAGUAGAGAUUAUUAUUCUAAGCUUAUAUAGUUAGUAGCACAUUGCCUGACACAGCAUGCCUUUAAAAAUCUUCAUUGAAUUAAUACAUGGUAAAUAGUAUUUAGCUUUCUAAAAACUUUGCAGGAUUCACUUCUUGUUAAAAUAUUACACUAGGCCUCUGUAAUGAUAAAUAUGGUAAAACUAUAUCAUUGCUUAGAGGAGAGAGAGGUGACAUCCAGCUAAGGUUGGUAAAUAAAACUUGACAAAUAAAAUGCAACUAAAGUAACCAUUGAAAGACUUUAAAAGAAGAAGAAAGAAAGAAAGGCUAGGUAAGGAGGGCAUGAAAGGCAGAGUGAGUGGACAUUCACAGAGACAGACACAAUGACAUAACCUGCAUGAGAAGGUUGGUGCUAUCCUAGCUGGCUGAAGCAGUUUGUUUAUGCAGGGGAAUUGUUGAACAUCAGAGUGAACAGGUAGUAGGUUAAGUCUAUAGCUCUAGAAUUUAAAUAUCAGAGAUACCUUCAGAUUACUAGGAAACCACAAGUUUGUUUUGAGAAAAGGAAAGGGUACUAGGUAUCGGAAGGCUAAAUGAGACACACUGAGAGGUGAUAAACUAUAAAGAAGAUCCCUUGUCAAUAACAGGACAGAAGGAUGCAAGAACCCUUGAAGUAUAAGCUGACUAGAUAAUAGGGGGAAGAAAGUGAGUUAUAACUAGUCAUAGGGUUUCUAGCCUCAGAGCAUAGGGUUUGUCAUUAACAGAAAAGAAGAAAAGAGACUUUACGGGGGGAAAUAUGGUUAAUUCUUAAAAAACAAACAAACAAACAAAAAACAUUGGAGGUCAUGAGCUCAAGAGAUAGGCCAGGGCAGGAAGGUAGAUUUGGGUGUCCCCAUCAUAAAAGAAGGGACAGUCAAGUAUCUUUUUGCAGUGAGAUUGAGAACAAUGCAGACCAAGAAAAGGCCUCAGGAUUUAGCCAUAGAUAAUUUAUUACCUUUGGAAAAGAAAGCUAUAUGUGCUUACUUGCAGGCCACAGUGGCAGAGUUGAGUAGUUAUAACAGGAGACUGUCAUAACCAAAGCCUAAAGCCAACCCACUCAGUUUGGGGUCUCAGACUUCUAAAGAAGUAUUAGAGAAAUUUCUAAAAGCCUAAUGGAAGUCUUAAUAAAUAAGUUUUUAAAAUGUGACAUUUAUCUUUUCCUGAAACAAGGCCAAUCCAGUAUUGGUUUGUAUAUGGAUUAGAAGUUCUCAUGUGCAUUAAAGGUGAAUUUGAUUAAUUUAACCCUACCUCUUCAGUGUUCCUUGGAAUACACUUUGGCAAAUGUGUCAGAUAGUGAUGUUUGGUUGCCUAGCAGCAGUUUCUGUGAUGGCCAGAAUCAGGCUUUUAGUCCUAAGAUGUCCAAAUAACUGUAACACUAAUAGGUAAAGAGCAUUUCUAUGUACAUUUUCUCAGCUGGCCUUCUCUUCACUCAUUAAAAUACCUCCCAGCUACCUGUAAUUCAGAAAAUAAUUAGGCAGUAUUCUUUUAAUUUUGCACAGUCCUAGACUUUAAGAGUUGCUUUAGGAUUAAUCUGGAAGAAUUCAUCACUUUAUUUUCUUCAGCUUCUAUUAAGAAAAUUGAAAUCCUGCUUUUUUAAAUGUCCAUUAGCAAAAGCACCCUAGAAGGCAUUUGUGCCAUGUCUGUGGAUAUUUUUUUAUGUGUGUGUAUGUCACAUUGGUGGCUAUUUAAUUCAGUUACUCAAAGAGUAAUGAUGCAAAUAUCCAUAAUAAAUAUUUUAAGCUAGAAGUGGAUUUUGACACGACAUAUUUCUAACUCUUGUAUUUCAUUAUGCACAUUUUCAAGGAAUUGAUUAUUGUAAUCUGAGUACCAUUAACUAAAAAUAUGAAAUGCUCAUUGCUAAAAAUCCUUGGAGUAUUUGUCAGUGUCCUGUGCUGCUUAAGAGCUUUGAAGCUAGACUCCUAAAUGAGAACUGUGUGUGCACUUCAUAUUUUUUAAGGAUACAUGUUGUUAUCUAUUUAAAAUUUCUCCUGAAGUGUACAAAACUCGUAAGCAAAAUUAACCUGCAAGGUUAAUUGAACACUAUCUUAAGAGGCCUGUUCUAUCUAUGCUUCAUGCUAGAAAGUUCCUAAAAUUCAAGAAUUUAAAAGUUAGAGACAGAAACCAACAGGCAAUUAGGAAGGAAUAAUAUCACACACAAAAACAGGUGGAAUAGUGCCACAGUUGACAUGGAACACCAUUUGCAGGCUUCUCUUCUGAUUAAUUUUUGGCAUCCUUUGGAGUGUCCCCAUCCCCCAGCAGCUACUGUCCCUUUAGAGUGCCCAUGUAACUCAAAGAGGUAAAGAUCAGGCAGCUCCAAGCACUGAAAUUUGGGUGUCUUCCACAUCAUGGGAGGCCAGCCAAGUUGUGUUCCAACCCAACUAUUAAGAAGGACCUUUCAAAGAUAUCUUUUAUAGCUGGGCUCCUGUCUAAGAGUCUUCCCCGUGUUCUACCCUCACCUGUCCAAGGCCAUGAGCAAGUGAAAACUUUACCUUUACUGUCACUGUAAGUCUCUUAGACUCUCAGGUGAUACUUUCUUCUGAGCUUUGAGGACACAGAGAAAGUGGGUUGAGUUUCUUCAGAGGCUACAAAACCAAAGGCUAGGUAUGGAAAACAGAGCCCAGGCAUUCAAACCAAGAGUUGGAGCCAAAGAAAGGACAAAAGGAAGAUCUGCUUUGAAGCAGAGGACAGUGUGAUAGUGGUUUUUGUUUUUUGUUUGUUUGUUUGCUUCUCUCAUUCAUUCCAGUGGGAUUGACACUAAUACUUUUAGUGGUGAGUAUUGGGCCUCUGUCCAACAGGACCUCUCCUGCUUAAGUGACUGUUUUUCAACAUGGCACAUGCCAAUGUCUUUUGUAAAGGGCAUCCAUUAUCUUCUUCCACAGUUAGGAAUUUAGGCAAAUUUCUUAGAUUCAGAUAUGCACUGAUUUUUGAUCCAUGGUUUUAAAAAAUAAUAAUUUAUCCUUUUCAUAUAUGUCUAUAUCCUAGAUGAUGCCAAAUGUCCCAAAUCACUAAGGGCAUCCAGUUCAUUGGUGAAACAAGGAGGAAAAAUUAGGCGGAAGUUUGUGGAUCUGGGGUAAGCACUUCAUGAUGUAAAAAGCAAGCCCUCUGUAAAAGGAGUAUUAAAGAGGAAAUUUCCACUCCCCCUUUCUGACUGUAUGCUGUCAUUAUAGGGCACCUUUGCGAAGGAAUUCCAACAAAGGAAAAAAAUGGAAAGAA
rnacentral:lncRNA from 1 species